rfam:Triticum aestivum genome assembly, contig: Triticum_aestivum_CS42_TGACv1_scaffold_362046_4DS
GGUCAGAUGAUGCUACAACAACAUAUUCCUGAGAUUCUCUUUGAGGAAUACAAAAUUGAGGUUUUUAAGACUGAUGGCCA